rnacentral:lncRNA from 1 species
AUGGGCAUGUACAUGUAUGUACACACACAUCUGAGGACACUUACACACAUAUACACAAACAUGGACAUAGACACACACACAUCCACAGAUACACAUGUAGACACAGACACAUGCAUGGACACAGAGACAAAUGUAGACACAGACACACAGACACAGACCCACACAUUCAUGGACACAAACACACAUAUACACAUCCAGACACAUGGACACACACACACAUGGGUACACACAGAAACACAGAUGCACAAGGACACACAUGGGAUACCCAUGGACACAGAGCGUCUACACACAGGCGCCAGUGCUGUGGCUCACUUGGCUAAUCCUCCACCUGCGGCGCCGGCACACUGGGUUCUAGUCCUGGUUGGGGCGCCGGAUUCUGUCCCGGUUGCCCCUCUUCCAGGCCAGCUCUCUGCUGUGGCCAGGGAGUGCAGUGGAGGAUGGCCCAAGUGCUUGGGCCCUGCACCCCAUGGGAGACCAGGAGAAGCACCUGGCUCCUGGCUUCAGAUCAGUGCAGCGCCGGCCGUGACGGCCAUUUGGGGGGUGAACCAACGGAAGGAAGGCCUUUCGCUCUCUCUAACUCUGCCUGUCAAAAAACAAAGAGUCCACACACAGACACACACACACGUCCCUUUUCAUGAAAUGUGGAAUGAAUGUCUCCCAGGGUGCCCAGGCACCGGCAGGCGGGACUGGACACUGAGCAAGCCUACGCGGGCUCACGUUCAAGGUGAUGAUCGUGCGCAGCUGGCAGUCGCUAUGCUAAAUCUCCAGAUGGCCCUCGGCAGAACAAAGCCUCCCUGCCCCGCACCCGUCGGGCACUGCGUACGUAUCUGCUCACGUACAUCUGCGUGUCUGACUGGGGCCCAGAACUGGCUUCUGGUUUUAAAAGGCAACAGCAGUUUCACACAUGGGUCGCCUGCAGGGAUGAGAGGUGGGGAGAUGGAGUCCAGAAUUUUUACUUUACGAGGGGGAGAAAUGGAGGUGACGGUCGCCCGCCAGAGAGCACAGCCCCAGGACAAUGAGGCGGGAGGCAGAGCCCACGCUCCUGAGCCACCAGGCCAGCGUGAGCGUCCCACAGCAACUUCAUGGAAAUCUGGAAUUAUACGCGUUGGUUUCUUUGGGAGCAGAACAAAAUUUUGUGACCCAUUUGCAUUCUUUUCAUCAUGUACAUUUUCCAUGUAUUGUGAAAAUGCUUCUGUACCUUAA